CAUUUCUCUGACCUGAUGUCAGGAUCUUGUCUCUCACCUCAUGGUUCCCCAUGAAUCGUGGCCAAAGUGGCUCGAAAAGCGGCCCUCUUUUUUUUUUUAGCUUUUGCCAAAUGCUUCUCUAGGAACCCCAGGGUUGUUGCGCAUACCGGACUUUUCUUGUUUAGCAUUUCAAAAAUAAACUGCGGGAUGCUGGCAGCCCUGCUGGUUAAGUCAGCACACACACAAAAGAUGAAAAAAAAUACAUUUAAGCUGACGUUGUGCGGCAGAGGAUUAUUUAUAGACCCUAAGAGCCGGGAGAGGCCUUUCCUCUCUGCCCCUCCAUCCCUAUCCUGCACACUGCAGCAAGACACGUUCUCCCAUCACCACCUACAUCCCACGGGACAAAGGAAAAAAGAAAGUGGCCAGUGCUUUUAUCUACCCGGCCCAGGAGGCGUGGAAGGCAGCAAGGCCUCUGGGGCAGCCUGGGGUUUUGCAGUGUUUGUGCCUGGUUUUGAGGCUGGGGGCUACGGAGCCCUGACGUCAGAGCUGGGACGUCGGCUGUGCUUGGGAUCGUGCACGGGCUUCCUUCCAGGCGUGUUUCUACCAUGGUCACAGAUUGAGCUGGGUGUUUUCCUGCCGUGCCUCGGGGCAGCCUGUUUAGCAGAAGCCUGCCCAGUUCCCAGAAAGACAGCACCUCCCAAAAUAGGCUGCUCUGACGGAGAAAGGCAGAGACAUGCAGUCUGCUGGGGCACGGGGGUCAGCCGGGCUUUUGGGUUAGCACCCCCGCAAAAAUGCACCCUUGUUAUCUCUGGUUUCCCCCCCCUUGGUGAACUCAGAGGGGACGCUGAUCUCCAGUUGCUCCCGUGGCAGUAGGAAACGGGUGGUGAAGUAGCUUGGUAAUUCAUGAAGUAAAGCCCUCCUUUUCCUUUCGAACCAUAUUUUAUCCCCUGUAGCGUAAGGAGCUGGAAGUGGCCCUCGGCAGAAGAAUCCGACAUCCCCGCUCUCGUGGUUGAAACUUGGCAGCUCGACCACAACAUUAGCUGGGCACCCGUUCCUGGUAAAUAUUGGGAGCCUCGUCUCAGCUCAACAAAUCUCUGCACUCCCCCCAGUGCUGCCUGCCUUGAAAAUUAAGAAUUUCCUUGCCAGAAAAAGCUGGCAGCCUCAGGUGUGCACAGCUGCGUGCGGCUUUGUUAAACUCCCCCCAUCUCCCAGCGAAUUUUGGGGUGAGGCAGAGGAAGGCUGACAGGAGCUCUCCAUUUUCCCAUGUACCGUUGCAAUCACGAACCUCCUCGGUGCAUUACCCAGUUGUCCAGAUUUAACACGAUCUUGUAGUGUUGGUUUUUUCCCCUGCAAACCCUUUUUCGUUCCCCAUUUUACUCCUCCAGAGCAGAUGAUUCAGUGCCGGGCUCGUUCUGCAGGUCGGGGCGUGCGAGCAGCGUCUGGCUGGCUGAAGGGCUUUCACUCGCAGUCUGCGUGGGCACAUUCACUUCGGACGUUGUUUUAAUGACUGUGGAGUUGCUCAUUUGAUUCCCAAGGCUGGAGAGCAGAAAUGAAUUAGUUUCAUUUCGAGACUGUGGCGUGCAAUCAUUUUUCCAGAGAUUGAUGUGCUCGGAAGCCAAAAUAAAUGCAUUGCCCAAUUGAGGAA